rnacentral:snRNA from 1 species
GUACUCGCUUCGGCAGGACAUACACUAAAGAAAAAUUAGAACGAUACGGAUAAGAUUAGCACGGCUCCUGUGCAAGGGUUACACUCAAAAGGUUGUGAAGCCUUCCAUAUUUUU